UUGGGGGACGCCUCAAUGUCAAAUCCAAUCCAUAUAGAGAUCUCUACAAGUAUUACACUAGUGUACAUGAGGACGUGAGAUAAUGAGUCUACUAUCGAACCACCAUUCGUUAAUGGAUAUCAACUUAGUUGAUUGGCCUAAUGGAAAGAUGCGAUCCAGCAUUAACAAAGAGAUAGGUCCUUGGGCAGGUGAUGCCGACACCGCAAGCUAAACUCUAUCAACUUUACCUUUGUUAGAUAGCGUAGUGAGAACAAGAGCUUAGACUCACCUUAUGGCGCAAGGUCUCUCACUAACACGCACUGGGAUCAACUACGAUGAGAUAUGCUCUCGUAAUGGAUGUCAUUGAACUCCACUACUUUGUCAGUUUGGUAGUUUCCGAAUAACUGAACAUGCAGCCUAUGAAUGUGGUCAUAAUAACAUCUCUAUGGGAUCAGAGAUAUACAUGAAGGUCUUAAACAGACUUCAUUCAUCUGAAUCAAGUGGCUCCAAACCAGAGGAGCAUGCGUUUGCUAAAUGUAUUGAAACGCACAUGGACUCUACUUGAUUUGGAAGGGAUAUGGUGAAUUAUGCCUUUGCGUGUUCAUUCUGGAUUUACAUGGACUCUUGAUCGAUCAAGAGAUGCCAAUAUGUAUCAACAUUCGAAGAAAAAGAUCUUGGGAAGACAUGGUUUCGAUAAGGCACUCGAUGACUGUAUUGAUGAUGAUUUUUCAUCAAUCGGCUUAGGCGCUCUAUAACUAGUGAGGCCUACAUAUACUCCCAUGAUUAGUCAAGGUCUUUACUCUAAAGAGAGAUCCGUUGUUUUGUCUAAAGCAAGAUGACAAAUAUGUGUUAAGAGAUGGAGUUUCCAUCUAAGUAUAAUUAGACGCAUCAAUGUACUCAACACAAUACGAAAGACUUAACAUCUCAUUCGCUAUGAAAAGUUGUAAAGCUAAGUGUAGCUAUGCGCCCACGCAACGCCAAUGUAAUGGCAGUAACUCCUUUUUCAAUACUUAAUGGUAUGAAAGGUUGAGGCUUAUUCUAUCCCUACAUAAGAAAGACACAUCAAAAGCGAAAUCAGAAUCUGCCAAGUUUUGUAGGUCAACUUCCACGGGACCUAUAGGAAAUCUCACUCACUGGAAAAUGGUGAAAUUGGUACCAUUGGAAAGGUCUAUGUGUCUACUUUUCAGAGACACCAACCAUUUGAUCAUACCUAUCAUAUUGAGUGAGUUAUGGCCGUUUUCGUAAAGUAGGACGAAUCUGUCCGAGAAUCUGAUUUUGGCAAAACAGUCAACUUCGACCGGAUUUUGUGAACAGCUCCUGAUGAACCAUUGAAAAGUUAGUAUGCUCAAACUACAUACAGUAUAAUUAGUCUAGGGGUAAACAAAUGAUAUUCAGACUAAAAAGGAGUAGAGAAACUCAAUCAAACCAUAAAUGAAACAAUGAAAAAAAAAAUCCACAAAUCUAAAUAAUUGAAAAUAAUUUGCAAAGACGACUCACCCGAUGAAAUUUA
rnacentral:lncRNA from 1 species